GCUCACCCCACCUGGUACUCCAUGUCGUAGCUGGGCAGGAUGAUCCGCCCGUGCUUCCACUCGCCGCCCUGGUCCUCACGGAUGACCCACAGCAACUUGCUCUCCUGGCUGGCUUCCCGCACCACCUGCAGCGCCACCCCGCGGCCGCCCGUGGCCUGGUGAGAGCUGAGCCUGUGCUGGACCUCCCAUCAGUGGCCCAGAAACAGCUCUUUCCUUCUUGACUCCCCAGCUGCCUCACCUACCUCCCUGCUCCCCUAAGCUCCUUCCUGUUUAGGCUCUCUGGGAUUAGUGCUUCAGAAGCUAUGCUUCCCUGAAGUCAAAUGAGACCAGUUUAGUAUGCGUAUAUGGGAUUCCAGUUUGUGCCUCUUCAACCAUCCAAAGCCACAUCUGUCUACAUACCCUACAAGGUGUGACCUCUGCAAGGCCAAAAUCAGCACAGAUAACUAAAAGGCAGCUGUCUACAGAAGAGAAUUAAUAAUGGUGUCUGCUGAGGGAGGAUACACUGAUGCCAAAUCAGACCCUCAA
ensembl:lncRNA NRP2-AS1 NRP2 antisense RNA 1